AGCAGUGGGGAAUAUUGGACAAUGGGCGAAAGCCUGAUCCAGCCAUGCCGCGUGUGUGAAGAAGGUCUUCGGAUUGUAAAGCACUUUAAGUUGGGAGGAAGGGCAUUAACCUAAUACGUUAGUGUUUUGACGUUACCGACAGAAUAAGCACCGGCUAACUCUGUGCCAGCAGCCGCGGUAAUACAGAGGGUGCAAGCGUUAAUCGGAAUUACUGGGCGUAAAGCGCGCGUAGGUGGUUUGUUAAGUUGGAUGUGAAAUCCCCGGGCUCAACCUGGGAACUGCAUUCAAAACUGACUGACUAGAGUAUGGUAGAGGGUGGUGGAAUUUCCUGUGUAGCGGUGAAAUGCGUAGAUAUAGGAAGGAACACCCAGUGGCGAAGGCGACCACCUGGACUAAUACUGACACUGAGG
rnacentral:rRNA from 1 species